ACUAUAUAAUUUUCCCUCAUAAGAAAAGAGUGGAACAUCAAAAUAAUUGUUUCCUAUAGCUCCAUGAAGAAUGAUAAUGACCUCUUCUUCUUGGGUAACUAACAAAUAUAAACAUGGUUGUAUGCUUAACUCUACCUUACUUCAAGAAAGUAAACCAUAUUUGCAGAUGCAAGUUCCAAGUUUUUUCAAUAAAUUUAAAACCAUACCUUUCUGCGACGUGGAGGCAGAAUGGUUCAGUAUUAUUAUGCAGUAGAUUGACAAUAUCCAGAGUCUUUGGAGAAGAAUCUUGACGGAUUCCUUGCUGACAAACACAAUAUG
rnacentral:lncRNA from 1 species